AGAGUUUGAUCCUGGCUCAGGAUGAACGCUGGCGGCGUGCUUAACACAUGCAAGUCGAACGGGCUCAUAUUGAAACCUAGUGAUUUAUGAGUUAGUGGCGGACGGGUGAGUAACGCGUGGAAAACCUGCCGUAUACUGGGGGAUAACACUUAGAAAUAGGUGCUAAUACCGCAUAAGCGCACAGCUUCGCAUGAAGUGGUGUGAAAAACUCCGGUGGUAUACGAUGGUUCCGCGUCUGAUUAGCUUGUUGGCGGGGUAAUGGCUCACCAAGGCGACGAUCAGUAGCCGGCCUGAGAGGGUGAACGGCCACAUUGGGACUGAGACACGGCCCAAACUCCUACGGGAGGCAGCAGUGGGGAAUAUUGCACAAUGGGGGAAACCCUGAUGCAGCGACGCCGCGUGAGUGAAGAAGUAUUUCGGUAUGUAAAGCUCUAUCAGCAGGGAAGAAAUAGCGACCUUUGGGUCGCCAGACGGUACCUGAU
rnacentral:rRNA from 1 species